CCCUACGGGGCGCACCAGGCGCGAAACCUCUGCAAUGCACGAAAGUGUGACAGGGGGACCCCAAGUGCCCAAGUACUGCUUGGGCUUUUACUGAGUGUAAAAAGCUCUGGGAAUAAGGGCUGGGUAAGACCGGUGCCAGCCUCCGCGGUAAAACCGGCAGCUCUAGUGGUAGUCACGUUUAUUGGGCUUAAAGCAUCCGUAGCCUGUUUAGACAGUCCCCUGUGAAAUCUGACAGCCUAACUGUUAGACUUGCAGAGGAUACUUCUAGACUUGGAACCGGAAAGGGCUAGGGGCAUUCCUGGGGUAGCGGUGAAAUGUUAUAAUCCUAGGAAGGUCACCAAUGGCGAAGGCACCUAGCUAGAACGGGUUCGACGGUGAGGGAUGUAAGCUAGGGGAGCGAACGGGAUUAGAUACCCCGGUAGUCCUAGCCGUAAACGAUGCGGACUAAGUGUUUCAUGAUCUUCAGGUUCAUGAAGUGUUGAAGGGGAACCGUUAAGUCCGCCGCCUGGGAACUACGGUCGCAAGGCUGAAACUUAAAGGAAUUGGCGGGGGAGCACCACAAGGGGUGGAGUCUGCGGUUCAAUUGGAUACAACGCCGAGAAACUUACCAGGGGCGACGGCAGUAUGAUGGUCAAGCUGAUGACUUACCGGACGAGCCGAGAGAGUGCAUGGCCAAGGCGAUU
rnacentral:rRNA from 1 species